rnacentral:lncRNA from 1 species
ACCCGGAUUAUCAUUAUAAUUCCCUUACCCACAUCAGAAUACAGGUAAACAAAAUAAAAGUCUUUAGAAAAUAAGAAAAUAAAAUACACAAAAAAAGAAGAAAUACAUUUAUAAAUCUAGUGUAACCAUUUAACUCCGGCACACUAGCACUAAUUUAGCUAAAUGUUAAUUUUUUCAAGUAUUGCUUGUCGGUCUUUUAGCUAGCUACAGCUAAUUAGCUUGACAUUCGUCUUCUCCUUUGCUAGCGACCGUUGGUAUUGUCAACGGUAACCGACCUAGGCGACACAGGACACUGCAACAGCAACCGUUGGUAUUGUCAACGGAAACCGACCUAGGCGACACAGGACACUGCAACAGAUUUAUUGUCAGGAUAAAUCCUGAGCAAAGCAAGUGUUCUUCCAAGGUCCAGCUGAGCAGAAGGACUGGCAGGAUGGUGCAACGAAAAAAUGAAUCCCUCAAUCCACACGUGGCAUCGUUUAUCAGAGGCUUUAUCGAGUAUGACUGGCAGAACAACUGAUAUCAGGGAAGAAGAUUCCAGCCCUUUAAGACAUAUUCAGUAUAGGAAGAAAUGGCGCCGGAAUCAUAUAUGUCAUUGGGACCAGUAAAGUCAGUCUUGAACAGUUUAUUGGUUGAAUAUUGAAAUGUUUUCGUACAAAUGCAUUUUUCUACAAUUCUUCUUUUAACUGAACAUUUUACUUACUUGGAAUUUUUGUAUUUGUAAAAAACAAACAAACAAAAAACAAAACCUGAAAUAUGUGAUAGUUGUCUAUAUGGUGAUGCUUUUGUGUGUUUUAUUGUUAAUUUUAUUAUAUUAUCAAUUAACUUUACAGGAUACAGUGACUGCACAUACAAACCAAUGUCUGAAAAGGGAAAUGUAAAAAGUACAAAAAAGUAUUUUUUUUUAAUUAUCUGUAUAAGCAUUGAAGUGUUACAAAAUAAUUCUUGGCCUU